rnacentral:misc_RNA from 1 species
AGCAGCCGCGGUAAUUCCAGCUCCAAUAGCGUAUAUUAAAGUUGUUGCAGUUAAAAAGCUCGUAGUUGAAUUUCGGGAUUGACACAUCGGUCGUGCCUUAAGGGGUAUGAACUGGUGUAGUCAAUUUCUCACCUUCUGGAGAACCGCGAUGCCCUUAAUUGGGUGUCGCGGGGAACCAGGACCUUUACUUUGAAAAAAUUAGAGUGUUUAAAGCAGGCAUUUUGCUUGAAUACAUUAGCAUGGAAUAAUAAAAUAGGACGGCAUGAUUCUAUUUUGUUGGUUUCUAGGAUCACCGUAAUGAUUAAUAGGGAUAGUUGGGGGCAUUAGUAUUCAAUUGUCAGAGGUGAAAUUCUUGGAUUUAUUGAAGACUAACUACUGCGAAAGCAUUUGCCAAGGAUGUUUUCAUUAAUCAAGAACGAAAGUUAGGGGAUCGAAGACGAUCAGAUACCGUCGUAGUCUUAACCAUAAACUAUGCCGACUAGGAAUCAGACGAUGUUAAUUUUUUAAUGACUCGU